rnacentral:rRNA from 1 species
GAUGAACGCUGGCGGCGUGCUUAACACAUGCAAGUCGAACGAAGCAUUUAGGACAGAUUACUUCGGUUUGAAGUUCUUUAUGACUGAGUGGCGGACGGGUGAGUAACGCGUGGGUAACCUGCCUUGUACUGGGGGAUAGCAGCUGGAAACGGCUGGUAAUACCGCAUAAGCGCACAACGUUGCAUGACAUGGUGUGAAAAACUCCGGUGGUAUAAGAUGGACCCGCGUCUGAUUAGCUAGUUGGUGAGAUAACAGCCCACCAAGGCGACGAUCAGUAGCCGACCUGAGAGGGUGACCGGCCACAUUGGGACUGAGACACGGCCCAGACUCCUACGAGAGUCAGCAGUGGGGAAUAUUGCACAAUGGAGGAAACUCUGAUGCAGCGACGCCGCGUGAGUGAAGAAGUAAUUCGUUAUGUAAAGCUCUAUCAACAGGGAAGAUAGUGACGGUACCUGACUAGGAAGCGCCGGCUAAAUACGUG